CCUACGGGUGGCAGCAGUGGGGAAUAUUGGACAAUGGGGGGAACCCUGAUCCAGCGACGCCGCGUGAGUGAAGAAGUAUUUCGGUAUGUAAAGCUCUAUCAGCAGGGAAGAAAGAAAUGACGGUACCUGACUAAGAAGCCCCGGCUAACUACGUGCCAGCAGCCGCGGUAAUACGUAGGGGGCAAGCGUUAUCCGGAUUUACUGGGGGUAAAGGGAGCGUAGACGGCGAUGCAAGUCUGAAGUGAAAGGCGGGGGCCCAACCCCUGGACUGCUUUGGAAACUGUAUGGCUGGGGUGCAGGAGAGGUAAGUGGAAUUCCUAGUGUAGCGGUGAAAUGCGUAGAUAUUAGGAGGAACACCAGUGGCGAAGGCGGCUUACUGGACUGUAACUGACGUUGAGGCUCGAAAGCGUGGGGAGCAAACAGGAUUAGAUACCCCAGUAGU
rnacentral:rRNA from 1 species